AAGGCUUAUGUCGUUGCAUAUAUUAGCAUGGAAUAAUAAAAUAAGACUAUGGUACUAUUUUGUUGGUUUGGGCACCCUGAAAAUGAUUAAGAGGGACAGGGGCGGGUAUUCGUAUUCCAUUGGCAUAGGUGAAAUUCUUGGAUUUAUGAAAGACGAACUACUGCGAAAGCGUUUACCAAGGAUGCUUUCAUUAAUCAAGAACGAAAGGAAAGGGAUCAAAGAUGAUUAAAAACCAUCGUAUUCUUAACCAUUAACUAUGCCAACUAAGGAACGGCAGGUGAUAACAUAACACUGUCGGUCCCU
rnacentral:rRNA from 1 species